GACGUAGGGGGCCGGCGUUGUUCGGAAUUACUGGGUGUAAAGGGUUCGUAGGCGGUGUGGCAAGUCGGGAGUGAAAAUCUCUGGGCUCAACUCAGAGACUGCUUCCGAAACUGCUGUGCUGGAGUGUGGGAGAGGCGCGUGGAAUUGCAGGUGUAGCGGUGAAAUGCGUAGAUAUCUGCAGGAACACCCCGUGGCGAAAGCGGCGCGCUGGACCACUACUGACGCUGAGGAACGAAAGCUAGGGGGAGCAAACAGG
rnacentral:rRNA from 1 species